rfam:Apaloderma vittatum contig95997, whole genome shotgun sequence.
GGACCGGUUAGCUCAGUGGUUUGAGCGUGAUGCUGACAACAAUGACAACAUCGAGGUCGCGAGUUUAAUUCCUGCUCGGUCCC